CGGAGUGGCGGACGGGUGAGGAAUACAUCGGAAUCUACUCUGUCGUGGGGGAUAACGUAGGGAAACUUACGCUAAUACCGCAUACGACCUACGGGUGAAAGCAGGGGACCUUCGGGCCUUGCGCGAUUGAAUGAGCCGAUGUCGGAUUAGCUAGUUGGCGGGGUAAAGGCCCACCAAGGCGACGAUCCGUAGCUGGUCUGAGAGGAUGAUCAGCCACACUGGAACUGAGACACGGUCCAGACUCCUACGGGAGGCAGCAGGU
rnacentral:rRNA from 1 species